GACCUGGCUGGGUGGUCUUGCCGAAAGGUAAGCACUGCUCUGGUCGGGUCUUUCCUUCUGGGGAACCUGCGUGCUCUUAAUUGAGUGCGCAGGGGAUCCAGGACUUUUACUUUGAAAAAAUUAGAGUGUUUAAAGCAGGCAAUCGCUUGGAUACAUUAGCAUGGAAUAAUGGAAUAGGAC
rnacentral:rRNA from 1 species